ACUCAGGCACGGUCCGAACGGGGAACCGACCUGAAGUUCAAUCCUGAGGGA
rnacentral:ncRNA from 1 species